rnacentral:tRNA from 3 species
GCCCGGAUGGUGGAACUGGUAGACACAAGGGAUUUAAAAUCCCUCGGCAGCAAUGCUGUGCCGGUUCGAGCCCGGCUCCGGGCACCA